CAGGAGCAAGUGCGGGUUGGGUGGGGUGGGGUAAAGAGGCUGGAGGCUACGGCCUCGCGGCGUUGCAUCGGCCUCUAGGCGGCAUGACCACUAGGGGCCUAUUGUUGCUACCUGGCGGAGAACGACAGGGCGGGGGGCUACGGGUGGGGGCAGGCGCGGCGACGGUGCCGGCGUCUACCGCUGGAGGAGCUCGAGCUGCAGGAGACCGGGCGGAGAAGUCGAGGGCCUGAGGAGCGGCGCGAAGGGCUACUGCUCCGAUUCUUCUUCGUCUUCGCGCGCCCGCCGGGACGGCAGGCUAGGCGGCGGGCGCGGCAGGGCCUCUUCCGGCGCAACUGGGGCAGCAGCCGCCGCUCCAGCCGAGGCCACGCGUAUGGAAGCCUACGACGCCGCGCCUCUCCCUCCACCAGGGUGCAGCAGCCGCCGCCGCUGCUGCCCCUGCGGUACCAGGGCGGCGUGCUCUAGCAGCGCGCCGCGCGCCGUCGCGUGUCGAGCCACGACCUCCCUCGGCCCUCCUGCGAGUUCCCGGCGCUGGAGGCGGCGCAUGCGUUGCGGCAGGACGCGGCGUGGCCGAAGGAGCUGACUCUCCGCCUCAUUAUUGAGUAUUGUGUUCCUGUGUUCGACGAACCUAAUACAGGUAGUUCUAUGUCGAUAAGUUUAUCUCGAGUAACGAUAGAAUAGGACACCUUAUUUCUACAAAAAACGGGCCAGUGAAGUUUUUUAACGAUAAAUUACUUCUAAAACUCUCUUGACUGCUCCAAUACAAACAGCUUACUAGAGCUAAACGUAGAGAAGACCUUGAACCUCUGGUCUCCUGGUCAAAUAGACGUCCGUUGGGUGUAGGUAUACGGAAUAAAGAGGUUUACAAUCCAGUAUUCACGUAAAAUCAUUAUCUUGACUACCACUGGAAUAUGUAUAAAACGGAGGUGUCACGCACCAGUUUCUUUGUUAGUAAUACAGAAUUAGUAAGUAAUUAGCGAUAGGAAAAGUUCUGAACCAG
rnacentral:rRNA from 1 species